rnacentral:lncRNA from 1 species
GAAAAAGCAGCAAAAAAACGGGAGAAAGAACAUUUGCAAGAAAAAGCAAAAGAAAAAUAUCAAGAAUGGUUGAAGAAAAAAAAAGCUGAAGAAUGUGAGAAGAAGAAAAAAGAAAAGGAAAAAGAAAAGCAGCGGCAAGCAGAAUUACAGGAGAAAAAGGAAAUCGCAGAAAAAAAGUUUAAAGAAUGGUUGGAAAAUGCAAAAAAUAAACCUCGUCCAGCUGCAAAGAGCUAUGGUUACUCCAGUGGGAAGCUUACAGGUUUUUACAGUGGAAAUUCCUACCCAGAACCAACUUUUUAUAACCCAAUUCCAUGGAAGCCAAUUCCUAUGCCCCCUCCUAAAGAAGCGAAGAGUGGACCAGGAAAGAAGAGCAGUAGAGAAGCAGUGAAGAAGAGUAACCGACCUGCCACGAGCCAGCCACUCACAGCAUCGUCCCUGGCAGUUCAUAAUGCCAGGAGCAGCCUUUGCCUGGGGUCUUUGUGCCGAGUACAGAGAUAGAGUCUGUGCACACAGUGUACCAGGACCUAGGACCUACCUUAAAACCAGGAUACCGUUUUUUAACACUUCUUAAUCAACAAGACAAUAUUUGAUGUGGUAAUUGACAGGUACCAAAAAUUUAAAUUUGUAUAUGGAAUCCUUAGAGUUAUAGUUUUUACAUUUUGGUUUUUAUAAACCGUUAAGGUUGAUCUAAUGAUUGUUUUAGUUUUUAUUAAAACUCAUUAUAGUAUCAAUAAACCAACAGUUUUUCUUGUG